GACGAACGCUGGCGGCGCGCCUAACACAUGCAAGUCGAACGGAGCUGAGAGAAGCUUGCUUUUCUUAGCUUAGUGGCGAACGGGUGAGUAACGCGUGAGUAACCUGCCCUGGAGUGGGGGACAACAGUUGGAAACGACUGCUAAUACCGCAUAAGCCCACGAUCCGGCAUCGGAUUGAGGGAAAAGGAUUUAUUCGCUUCAGGAUGGACUCGCGUCCAAUUAGCUAGUUGGUGAGGUAACGGCCCACCAAGGCGACGAUUGGUAGCCGGACUGAGAGGUUGAACGGCCACAUUGGGACUGAGACACGGCCCAGACUCCUACGGGAGGCAGCAGUGGGGGAUAUUGAACAAUGGGGGAAACCCUGAUGCAGCGACGCCGCGUGGAGGAAGAAGGUUUUCGGAUUGUAAACUCCUGUCGUUAGGGACGAUAAUGACGGUACCUAACAAGAAAGCACCGGCUAACUACGUG
rnacentral:rRNA from 1 species